GAUGAACGCUGGCGGCGUGCUUAACACAUGCAAGUCGAGCGGUGAAGCUCCAGCUUGCUGGAGUGGAUCAGUGGCGAACGGGUGAGUAACACGUGAGCAACCUGCCCCUGACUCUGGGAUAACAGCCGGAAACGGCUGCUAAUACCGGAUAUGCACCAUGAACGCAUGUUCUGUGGUGGGAAAGAUUUUUCGGUUGGGGAUGGGCUCGCGGCCUAUCAGCUUGUUGGUGAGGUAAUGGCUCACCAAGGCGUCGACGGGUAGCCGGCCUGAGAGGGUGACCGGCCACACUGGGACUGAGACACGGCCCAGACUCCUACGGGAGGCAGCAGUGGGGAAUAUUGCACAAUGGGCGAAAGCCUGAUGCAGCAACGCCGCGUGAGGGAUGACGGCCUUCGGGUUGUAAACCUCUUUUAGCAGGGAAGAAGCGAGAGUGACGGUACCUGCAGAAAAAGCGCCGGCUAACUACGUG
rnacentral:rRNA from 1 species